rnacentral:rRNA from 1 species
UACGUAGGGGGCAAGCGUUAUCCGGAUUUACUGGGUGUAAAGGGAGCGUAGACGGUCAGUCAAGUCUGAAGUGAAAAUCCAGGGCUCAACCCUGGAACUGCUUUGGAAACUGAUUAACUAGAGUGCAGGAGAGGUAAGCGGAAUUCCUAGUGUAGCGGUGAAAUGCGUAGAUAUUAGGAGGAACACCGGUGGCGAAGGCGGCUUACUGGACUGUAACUGACGUUGAGGCUCGAAAGCGUGGGGAGCAAAC